AGCUGAUCACUGGGCGUAAAGGGAGGCAGGCGGUUUUGUAAGACAGAGGUGAAAUCCCCGGGCUCAACCUGGGAACUGCCUUUGUGACUGCAAGGCUGGAGUGCGGCAGAGGGGGAUGGAAUUCCGCGUGUAGCAGUGAAAUGCGUAGAUAUGCGGAGGAACACCGAUGGCGAAGGCAAUCCCCUGGGCCUGCACUGACGCUCAUGCACGAAAGCGUGGGGAGCAAACA
rnacentral:rRNA from 1 species